rfam:Triticum aestivum genome assembly, contig: Triticum_aestivum_CS42_TGACv1_scaffold_222600_3B
CAUGUACUCCCUCCGUUCGGAAUUACUUGUCGUAGAAAUGGAUGUAUCUAGACUAAGUUAGUCUAGAUACAUCCAUUUCUACGACAAGUAAUUCCGAACGGAAGGAGUACGUA